CGCCCCGGGGCGGCGCUCCGGCCAUGUUGGCUCCGUGCGGGCGGGACGCUGCUGCCCCGCCCUGCCGGGACCCCUCUGCCCGUGCCCUGCCGUGGGUGAAUUCUUCCCGCGGCACUGGCGUUACUGAGUUUGCCAGCAGCGUUUACGUCCUCUUUCAAGGAGUCAGGCAUUUAAGCUGAGAGCUGCAUUACCUCCUACAAAGCAAUGAAGCUGCCGCCAGCCCCCCCAGGUCAAGGUUCGUACCAAGGCUCUCCCAAAAAUUCUCACUGCCUCAGCUGAAGGCAUUGCCGUUGCCAGCUGUCUCUCCCACCUCCUCACCAGGCAUGACUGCCCCUAAAGCACAGUUGACAAAAGAAACUAUUUCCAGACCUUGCGAUUCACAGUGCGCUAGUUUCUGAAGCAGGGACCAAGAGAAGGCAUUUGGAAAACACUGCAAUCAAUGAAAACUAUCGGUUUUUCUCCUGGCUCCUGGCACUUACUGGAGCAAGUAAUUAUUCUAUCUUCUCCUUCCUCCACCACAGUCCCUAAUUUAAUCUCAUAUAAAGAUUAAUGUGUCUCCAUGUUGCUGAUCCUUAUUGUUUCUCUUUAUAAAUUUUCAAACAAUUCUGUGUUAGUUUCUGGGACUGCAGUAGCAGAACACUCAGUAUUAUUCAGCGUGUAGGUAUAGUAUAUACAAAAGAUGUAAGAAUGCUUUCUGUUUUGUUGUCACUCCCAAUAAUAAAAAUUCCCAACAUUUUAGUUCA